UUUAAUUGAAGAGUUUGAUCAUGGCUCAGAUUGAACGCUGGCGGCAGGCCUAACACAUGCAAGUCGAGCGGUAACAGGAAUUAGCUUGCUAAUUUGCUGACGAGCGGCGGACGGGUGAGUAA
rnacentral:rRNA from 1 species